GACGAACGCUGGCGGCGUGCUUAACACAUGCAAGUCGAACGGAAAGGCCCAGCUUGCUGGGUACUCGAGUGGCGAACGGGUGAGUAACACGUGGGUGAUCUGCCCUGGACUCUGGGAUAAGCCUGGGAAACUGGGUCUAAUACCGGAUAUGACCUUACAUCGCAUGGUGUUUGGUGGAAAGCUUUUGCGGUUCAGGAUGGGCCCGCGGCCUAUCAGCUUGUUGGUGGGGUAAUGGCCUACCAAGGCGACGACGGGUAGCCGACCUGAGAGGGUGAUCGGCCACACUGGGACUGAGACACGGCCCAGACUGCUACGGGAGGCAGCGGUGGGGAAUAUUGCGAAAUGGGCGCAAGCCUGAUGCAGCGACGCCGGGUGGGGGAUGACGGCCUUCGGGUUGUAAACAUCUUUCACGAAGGACGAAGCGUGAGGGACGGUACCUGGAGAAGAAGCACCGCCAAACUACGU
rnacentral:rRNA from 1 species